rnacentral:rRNA from 1 species
UGGGGAAUAUUGCACAAUGGGCGCAAGCCUGAUGCAGCCAUGCCGCGUGUAUGAAGAAGGCCUUCGGGUUGUAAAGUACUUUCAGCGAGGAGGAAGGCAUUGUGGUUAAUAACCGCAGUGAUUGACGUUACUCGCAGAAGAAGCACCGGCUAACUCCGUGCCAGCAGCCGCGGUAAUACGGAGGGUGCAAGCGUUAAUCGGAAUUACUGGGCGUAAAGCGCACGCAGGCGGUUUGUUAAGUCAGAUGUGAAAUCCCCGGGCUCAACCUGGGAACUGCAUUUGAAACUGGCAAGCUUGAGUCUUGUAGAGGGGGGUAGAAUUCCAGGUGUAGCGGUGAAAUGCGUAGAGAUCUGGAGGAAUACCGGUGGCGAAGGCGGCCCCCUGGACAAAGACUGACGCUCAGGUGCGAAAGCGUGGGGAGCAAACA